rnacentral:sRNA from 1 species
UAAGCGUGAGAAAUGACUAGCUCUUCGA